CUGUUGAGCCACAUUAGUGGUAGGUCGAGGACAUGAGCCGUCAACAAAUCCGAUUUUGUUUUUAGCAGAUAAUGCAACAAUCAUCUUGCGUCUCCAACCCCCAUAACCACUACCCGAGAAGGGAGUGGGGACAAGAGAGACCCCAGGGACAUCAGAGGAAUAUACAAAAAUGGGGCUGGUAGAGUCUACCGAGGAGGAGGUACCAACAGUGGUAUUAGAAGCCAUGAUUAAUGAAUCAGCUUAAAAACAGUGUCGGCAAU
rnacentral:lncRNA from 1 species